UACGUAGGGUGCAAGCGUUGUCCGGAAUUAUUGGGCGUAAAGAGCUCGUAGGCGGUCUGUCACGUCGGCUGUGAAAACCCGAGGCUCAACCUCGGGCCUGCAGUCGAUACGGGCAAACUAGAGUACUGCAGGGGAGACUGGAAUUCCUGGUGUAGCGGUGAAAUGCGCAGAUAUCAGGAGGAACACCGGUGGCGAAGGCGGCACUCUGGGCCGAUACUGACACUGAGGAGCGAAAGCGUGGGGAGCGAACAGG
rnacentral:rRNA from 1 species